rnacentral:rRNA from 1 species
UCUUGGUCAUUUAGAGGAAGUAAAAGUCGUAACAAGGUUUCCGUAGGUGAACCUGCGGAAGGAUCAUUACUGAAGUGAGUCUUCAUUCAUUGAAGCUUCUUCCCAUUGUGCUGGCUUUGACCGUAUGUAAAGUUGGGGAUUAAACAUGGUUCAAAAUUUAUUUUGUGGCCGUCCCCAACAAUUUAUCUCAUCCUUUAUAAAUUUGAACUGAACUCAUUUUGAGAUUACUUAAAAAAAUAAUCUUAUUAUACAACUUUCAACAACGGAUCUCUUGGUUCUCGCAUCGAUGAAGAACGCAGCGAAAUGCGAUACGUAAUGUGAAUUGCAGAAUUCAGUGAAUCAUCGAAUCUUUGAACGCACAUUGCACUCUAUGGUAUUCCGUAGAGUAUGCCUGUUUCAGUAUCAUGAACACCUCACUACUAUAACUUUAUUGUUAUGAUAGUGGAUUUGGAAUGCGCUGGUGUUAGUCAGCCCUUCUAAAAUGGAGUUCUUGCACUGUUGAUUUGUUUUAACAGCAACGUUGGCCUAAUAAGUUUCAGCAGCAAUGUUGAAAUCACUGGCUUUUUUUGCUUAGAA